CUGUUGUCAGGUCAUUAAAGAUUGCAUAUUUUGGCUUUAAUAUUGAUUCACUUAAAGGGUCUUUGCAUCGGAACUAAACACAUUUUUUUAAAAAAAAAACAGUUGUUGGCAUGACACGGGUUAUGUUCUUCUCAUAUAUUUUAUGAUAGUAUGAUACUAAACCCCUAACGGAAGGGAUUAUGCCUGAUAUUCAUAUGAUGAAGACAUAAUCUUUCAAUCAGUUUAAUUGAGGUCUGGAG
rnacentral:lncRNA from 1 species